UACGGGGGGGGCAAGCGUUGUUCGGAAUUACUGGGCGUAAAGGGCUCGUAGGCGGCCAACUAAGUCAGACGUGAAAUCCCUCGGCUUAACCGGGGAACUGCGUCUGAUACUGGUUGGCUUGAGUGUGGGAGAGGGAUGCGGAAUUCCAGGUGUAGCGGUGAAAUGCGUAGGAUAUCUGGAGGAACACCGGUGGCGAAGGCGGCAUCCUGGACCAUUACUGACGCUGAGGAGCGAAAGCCAGGGGAGCAAACGGG
rnacentral:rRNA from 1 species